GCUUCUAGCUCAUCAAAAGAGCAGCAAUCUCAACCUUAUCCAGGGCAACCAGUUAAACGCAGAAAGCGACACAGGAGAAAGCAUGUUCAAAACCAGGAACCAUGCCUAAUGAGAGGUGUCUAUUUCAAAAAUAUGAAAUGGCAGGCAGCAAUUAAAGUUGACAAGAAGCAAAUCCACUUGGGGACUGUUGGUUCACAAGAAGAGGCUGCCCAUUUGUAUGACAGGGCUGCCUUCAUGUGUGGGAGGGAACCCAACUUUGAGCUUCCUCAGGAGGAGAAGCAAGAACUUGGAAAAUUCAAAUGGGAUGAAUUUUUGGCAAUUACUCGCAGUGCAAUUAAUAAUAAAAAACACAAGAGACGGAAUGGAGCUGAGUUGCACAAGAGAUCUGAACCCGAAUUGCAGAACGGUGACUGGGAUGACAAGCAAGGAGCCAACAGCUUUUCAGCUUCAGAAGAUGUGGAGCCAGACUCAUCCACCUCCUGAAUAUUUUGGUUUCGGAAAUGAGGCUGAAUAAUCCUUUUCUAACAGUGGAGCUUUAGCUUGUCCUCCAUUUUUGCUGUACAAAGUCCCCUAUUAGGACAGAUGAUGGCAGACAUCAUCUUUUAGCAAGGAGAUCUUUACACUUUUAACUCAAUAAAGAGACAGAAAGCGCAAAUAUUAAAUGGCUGCCACUGUCUGCAAUCACCAUCAUCUGCAGACCCUGUUAAAUACAUAGCUAUACUUGGUUACUUGUCUUUUAUAUUUUUCUUCUUUUCCUCUUUUGGCCUUCAUUGUGGAUGUUGGAAAACAGCAGAAUUUCUUUGCACCA
rnacentral:misc_RNA from 1 species